rnacentral:rRNA from 1 species
UCGAGCGGAUGAAGGGAGCUUGCUCCUGGAUUCAGCGGCGGACGGGUGAGUAAUGCCUAGGAAUCUGCCUGGUAGUGGGGGAUAACGUCCGGAAACGGGCGCUAAUACCGCAUACGUCCUGAGGGAGAAAGUGGGGGAUCUUCGGACCUCACGCUAUCAGAUGAGCCUAGGUCGGAUUAGCUAGUUGGUGGGGUAAAGGCCUACCAAGGCGACGAUCCGUAACUGGUCUGAGAGGAUGAUCAGUCACACUGGAACUGAGACACGGUCCAGACUCCUACGGGAGGCAGCAGUGGGGAAUAUUGGACAAUGGGCGAAAGCCUGAUCCAGCCAUGCCGCGUGUGUGAAGAAGGUCUUCGGAUUGUAAAGCACUUUAAGUUGGGAGGAAGGGCAGUAAGUUAAUACCUUGCUGUUUUGACGUUACCAACAGAAUAAGCACCGGCUUACUUCGUGCCAGCAGCCGCGGUAAUACGAAGGGUGCAAGCGUUAAUCGGAAUUACUGGGCGUAAAGCGCGCGUAGGUGGUUCAGCAAGUUGGAUGUGAAAUCCCCGGGCUCAACCUGGGAACUGCAUCCAAAACUACUGAGCUAGAGUACGGUAGAGGGUGGUGGAAUUUCCUGUGUAGCGGUGAAAUGCGUAGAUAUAGGAAGGAACACCAGUGGCGAAGGCGACCACCUGGACUGAUACUGACACUGAGGUGCGAAAGCGUGGGGAGCAAACAGGAUUAGAUACCC